GAGCAGUGAGGAAUUGGGCAUUAGCGUUGGUUGGGUCCUUCGCAUUCUUCUGAUUUCCAGGAUCUGAUAUGGCCUUGCAUCUGAGCUC
rfam:Eutrema salsugineum unplaced genomic scaffold scaffold_8, whole genome shotgun sequence.